UUUAGAUAAAAACCAGUGUUUAACUGUUUAUUUUUAAGAUAUUAAUGCAAAAGAUAUCUAAUGCAGACACAUUGACUAUUUGCUAGAAUUACGAAAAAAUUAUUUUUAUUUUUCGCAUAUAAAUGAGAAAAUAGACCUAAAAUUUCGUGCUCUCUAAUGUUGUACGCAGCAAAAGAACCGUAGAUAUUCAUAGGAGACUGAAGAAGUACGCAGCAAAAGAACCGUAGAUAUUCAUAGGAGACUGAAGAAGAACGGGUAUGUCAGAAAAAAAAAGGAAAAAAGGAAAGAAAAAAAAAAACAUUUUCGUACAUGUCUCGCGGCGGGCGAAACAGUGGAAUUUCAUAACAGAAGACCUCAUUACAUAAGGGGAUUUUUCUUUAUCAAAACGUUACAUAUAACAAAAGUGGAAAAAAAAAAUGUAGAAAAUUAUAAGAAAAAAAAAACUUUUUUCAUGUCCGGAUCGUACAACCCCGUUGAUGCAAAAAAAUGUUUGCGCGCCUGACGUUGUUAACACACACGACACACACUUCUCUUGAGAAAAGAUAGUAGCCUUCACGAGUGUCUUACUGUUUCAUUGCAGAGCCCCUCCUCUUGAUGACGACGCGUACACUGUCAGCUACUCUUUGCAGCGUCUCACUUAAAUUUUUCCCAAUAUCUUUGUAUCUCCAUUUCAGAUAAAUUGUUCUUUUUCCAAGGAUUGAGGAGAACAUGGUCGUGCUUCAAGUGAAGCCACUGCAGCCACUCCCUGACAAGUCUUCCACACUGACAGGCCCACUGGAAGCUGUCAGUCUGCUGCGGCACGUGGCAAGAACUAAACGUUGAGGAACACACAUUGUCCCUUCACCAGUCAGCAGGUCUGGGCGGCUCGGAAGUCUCACUACAAACUGGAGACCCGUUCACUUGAAGGACACAUUUGGAGUCGGACACAAGAUCCAAGAGGGAGUCAUUUUAAACGAGAGCUUCAGGCAGAAAAUUCGGGUGGAUUUUCGGCUCAAAAAAUGUCUUAAUUUUUUGGGAUAUUUUGAAUCCUUCUUUAUCUUGAAAAAUAACUACAGAUAUUAUAUGAUUCUAGCUGGAAGUUGACCUGAGCAAUGUAGGGUUUGCUGCAGUGAAAUUACCAAGGCACAAGUGUCCGGGAUUUAAAGAAGAUGAUGGUGGAAAUGUGUCCUGUCUGCUGCUGUGCUGGGAGAAGGAGAGGAACAGGAGAGGAACAGCAGCUGUGGUGGGGCUCUGCUGCUGCUGUCACUGGUGCAGCUGUUCACUCCUGCAGCUGUCUUCCCUCACCUGCAAUGAACAACUAUGAACAAUUCUUCUGCGAUGAAGAACAGUGAUAACACCUGCUUCAUUUCAUAUGGAUGUAACUCUCUCUCUCUCUCUCUCUCUCUCUCUCUCUCUCUCUCUCUCUCUCUCUCUCUCUCUCUCUCUCUCUAUCACCCGCUAUCACCUCAAACGCAGGCUGUGGUAGAGGCAUCCCCUGAGUUACCAACUAGGGAUUUUUUAAACAAACAUUUUCGUAAGCCAGACCUGCAAAAAAGAUGCCGUGAAUUGGGUCUUGCAAAUGUUUGGACAAGUAGCAAAAGCCAACUCAUUGAUAUGAUCAUUGAAAAGUCACGGCCACCUUCUAACGAUAUCGUGAAUGAUGAAGUGCACACACCACCCUCACCCAGCCACUCACCGCCUGCACCCCAUCGGACUAGACAGAGUCUUCCCUCUGACACCCCUCAGCAGGUUAACCUAGACCAUGGCGGGCUGGACAUACCCGAUAUCAGUAGAAAAAUCGAGAUAAUUAUGACCAAGCUAGAAAUUAAAGAUACUGAAAUUGACUUGCUGAAUACUGAAAUAAAAACUGCAUACCACACGAUCCAACAACUCCAGAACCGUAUCGCUGAGUUGGAACAGCAUCACUGUGGUAGUGAAGCACGUCAUCCCACACCAGGAACACGCUCUACACCUAACAACUGCCUCCUCCUUGGAGAUACGAAUUUACGAGCAAUUAUACGUUCCGAUCUCUAAAAUAAUUGCCAGAUAAGGACCAUCUUCGAAGCAAAUAUGGAUUUACUAAGAUGCUGGAUAAAUGAAAAAUUAAGUAAUAUUCCAUCUCAGUGUAUAUUAUACAACGGAAUCACAGAUAUACUUGAAGAGAAAUCACCACCAACAAUACUGAACAACUUAAGUUUGCUGAUUGCUGAAUUGAAGGAGAGAAACAAUGAAAUGAAAGUACAUGUCUGUCAGAUUGUGUCCCCUCCUGGUUCACAUGAAAUACAGGCAAAAGUACAAGAUUAUAAUGAACAACUACUUAAGUGGGGUGAAGCCAACAGCAUAAACAUAAUCAGAACGGCUCCUUCUUUUACACUGAGCACAGGUGAGAUAGAUGAUUUCUGUUUCGAGACGAAAAUCAGUCCAUAUCCCACGCUAAAUAGACUGGGAGCAGUCAAGUUGCUCAAUACCAUUAAAAGGGAAUGUCCAGACUUCCAUAUCUGCAAUAACUGGGAGGAAAUCAAGAAAAGUAUAAAUACACAAACUCCACAACGCAAUGCAAGAAAUACGAGUAGAUACAUGG